CUCACCGGUUGAGCAGGAGGCUCGUUGAGACCAGAAGAGUGGAGGCAGGGGAGUCACAGGGCGGGUAGCAUCUCCUAUGCACUGGGUACUGGGUACAAAACCGAAGCUGCCAGCCUUCUGAAGAUGUAGAUGGGAUAAUAGAGCUCUGAUGCUACUUUUGUGAGCGUCCUCCUCCUUCACCAUGGACAGGAUCUGUGGGACUGUCAAUCAAGGUGUCCUGCCCAUCCCCCAGCCAAGAGGAGAACAGAGAGUAGGAGGCUCCUGGAACUCAAGUCUCCAGGGAAGUCACACGAAGACAGUGUCAGGGUGAACAUGACUCACCCACAAAAGCCCUGGCUAGGCUUAUGCUGUGGUUCCUGCUGCCUGGAUUCUUGCUGUCUUGUUCUGCUUGAGAUCUGGCUGGUCUGUUUUGUUUCAGUGCUUCCUUUGAUCUGUAAGCUUUGCUAAA